GAGAUGAUAGUCAAAGAUGAUAACUGCCUUGCACGUAGUGGGUGCUAAAAUUAGCUCAUCUUG
rnacentral:tRNA from 3 species